GAUGAAGAACGUAGCGAAAUGCGAUACUUGGUGUGAAUUGCAGAAUCCCGUGAACCAUCGAGUCUUUGAACGCAAGUUGCGCCCGAAGCCAUUAGGCCGAGGGCACGCCUGCCUGGGCGUCACACGUCGUUGCCCCCCCAUCUACUCCUUCGGGAUUGCGGGGGGCGGAUGAUGGCCUCCCGUGCGCCUCGUCGCGCGGUUGGCAUAAAUGCCAAGUCCUCGGCGACGCACGCCACGACAAUCGGUGGUUGCGAAACCUCGGUUGCCCGUCGUGUGCGGUCGUCGCGCAUCGAGGGCUCGAAAAAUUGCCGGGCUCCGGCUCGGCUUUCAACGCGACCCCAGGUCAGGCGGGGUUACCCGCUGAAUUUAAGCAUAUCAAUAAGCGGAGGA
rnacentral:misc_RNA from 1 species